rnacentral:snoRNA from 1 species
UACCAAACCUUUUUGUCAGGGUGCUUCUCUAUCCGUUUUAGGAUAAACUUAUCUACAGAAGUGUCUGUUACUGUUUUGGAAGAGUAAUACUGUUCGCUUAUCCAUAUUUCCCCGUUCUGGGGAAGCCUCAUGGGUAAAUUAGAAGGACAACCUUUGUUUUAAAGGUAUACCUUCGCUUUUUAKAACAGCGAGGRUCUUAUGAGUUGAGCUUUUGUUACUUGAGACUUUAUCUCGGGCKCCAUACAAUAUGUUCGUAGUAAAGAUCCUCACAAUU